rnacentral:rRNA from 1 species
UACGUAGGGGGCUAGCGUUGUCCGGAAUCAUUGGGCGUAAAGCGCACGUAGGCGGCAUUGCAAGUCCCAUGUGAAAUCCCACGGCUUAACCGUGGAAGUGCAUGGGAAACUGCAGUGCUUGAGUAACUUAAGAGGAUCGCGGAAUUCCCGGUGUAGAGGUGAAAAUUCGUAGAUAUCGGGAGGAACACCAGUGGCGAAGGCGGCGAUCUGGGAAGAUACUGACUGCUGGAG